UUACAUUAAAAUGAUAAUUGUGAAAUUCAAUUUAGUUUGAAAAUAAAAAUUUAUUAUUAAUUAAUU
rnacentral:tRNA from 1 species